GAAGGCAUAGCUCAGAGGUAAAGUGUGUUGCUCAGUGUACACAAGGUCUUGGGUUCAAUCCCCAGUGCCUCCA
rnacentral:tRNA from 1 species